GCCAGGCAUGGUGGCUCGUGCCUAUAAUCCCAGCACUUUGGGAGGCUGAGGUAGGAGGAUUGCUUGAGCCCAGGAAUUCAAGACUGCAGUGAGCCAUGGUCAUCCCACUUCACUCCAGCCUGGGCAACAGAGGGAGACCCUGUCUCUAAAGAAAAUAAAAAUAGGCGGCGGGGUGCCGUGGCUCACGCCUGUAGUCCCAGCACUUUGAGAGGCCAAGGUGGGUGGAUCACCUGAGGUCAGAAGUUUGAGACCAGCCUGGGCAACAUGGUGAAACCCCGUCUCU
ensembl:misc_RNA Metazoa_SRP Metazoan signal recognition particle RNA